rnacentral:lncRNA from 1 species
AGUUGUUGAUGGACACAACACCUUUAUUUUUUAUUUGUUUAUUUGUAUGUAGUGCUAGAGGUCAAACCCAGUGCAUCACACAUGCUAGGCAAGUGCUCUAGCACUGAACCACAAUCCUGGCCCCAUUUAUUGAGAAUUUUUGCAUCAAGGAUAUUGGUCUGAAGUUUCCUUUCCUUCAUGUGUCUCUGCCUGGUUUUGGUAUCAGGAUGAUACCACCUUUGUAGAAUGAGUUUGAAAGGGUUCCUUUCUUUUCUAUAUCAUGGAAUUAUUUGAGGAUUAAAUAAAAUAUAAAUUAUUUCUUGUAGGUCUUGUAGAACUCAGCUGUGAAUCUGUCUGGUCCUGGAAUUUUCUUGGUUAAUAGGCUUUUGAUGGUAUCUUCUUUCCUUGCUUGAAAUUGAUCUGUAUGAGAAAUGCAAAUCAAAACUACUCUAAGAUACCAUCUCACCCCAAUAAGAAUGGCGGCCAUUUUGAAGACAAACAACAAUAAGUGUUGGGGAAGAUACGGGGGGAAAAAGUACACUCAUACACUGCUGGUGGGACUGCAAAUUAGUGCAGCCAAUUUGGAAAGCAGUAUGGAGAUUCCUUGGAAAACUGGGAAUGGAAUCACCAUUUGACCCAGCUAUUCCUCUUCUUGGACUAUACCCAAAGGACCUAAAAACAGCAUACUACAGGGACACAGCCACAUCAAUGUUUAUAGCAGCACAAUUCACAAUAGCUAAACUGUGUAGCCAAGCUAGAUGUCCUUCAGUGGAAGAAUGGAUAAAAAAAGAAAGUGGCAUUUAUACACAUGGAAUAUUAUUCAGCACUAAAAAAGAAUAAGUUCAUGGCAUUUGCAGGGAAAUGGAUGGCAUUAGAGAAGAUUAUGCUAAGUGAAGUUAGCCAAUCCCAAAAAAAAA